UCGGGAAUUUUGGGCAAUGGGCGAAAGCCUGACCCAGCAACGCCGCGUGAAGGAUGAAAUCCCUCGGGAUGUAAACUUCGCAAGAACGGGAAGAAUAAGUAGGGGACAAUACCCCCUAUGAUGACGGUACCGUUUGUAAGCUCCGGCUAACUCCGUGCCAGCAGCCGCGGUAAUACGGGGGGAGCAAGCGUUGUUCGGAUUUACUGGGCGUAAAGGGCGCGUAGGCGGCCUCCGCAAGUCAGUUGUGAAAUCUCCGAGCUUAACUCGGAAAGGUCAACUGAUACUGCGGGGCUAGAGUGCGGAAGGGGCAACUGGAAUUCUUGGUGUAGCGGUGAAAUGCGUAGAUAUCAAGAGGAACACCUGCGGCGAAGGCGGGUUGCUGGGCCGACACUGACGCUGAGGCGCGAAAGCUAGGGGAGCGAACGGGAUUAGAUACCCCGGUAGUCCUAGCCUUAAACGAUGAAUGCUUGGUGUCUGGGGUUAUAUAGUCCCCGGGUGCCGUCGCUAACGCUUUAAGCAUUCCGCCUGGGGAGUACGGUCGCAAGACUGA
rnacentral:rRNA from 1 species